rnacentral:rRNA from 1 species
UACAGAGGGUGCGAGCGUUAAUCGGAAUUACUGGGCGUAAAGCGUGCGUAGACGGUUAUCUAAGUCGGAUGUGAAAGCCCCGGGCUCAACCUGGGAAUUGCAUUCGAGACUGAAUAGCUAGGGUGCGGUAGAGGGAAGCGGAAUUUCCGGUGUAGCGGUGAAAUGCGUAGAUAUCUGGAGGAACACCGGGUGGCGAAGGCGGCAUCCUGGACCAACACUGACACUGAUGAGCGAAAGCCAGGGGAGCAAACGGG